UUAAGUGACGAUAGCCUAGGAGAUACACCUGUUCCCAUGCCGAACACAGAAGUUAAGCCCUAGUACGCCUGAUGUAGUUGGGGGUUGCCCCCUGUUAGAUACGGUAGUCGCUUAGC
rnacentral:rRNA from 14 species